rnacentral:rRNA from 1 species
GAGGAGCUCGUGGAGGAGAUCCUCAUCCGCCUCCCUAAGGACGAGCCAGGUAAUCUCCUCCGCUCCUCCCUCGUCAGUAAGCAAUGGCACGACCUCCUCGCCGCCGACGGCUUCCGUCGCCGCUACGGUGAUUUCCACCGAACACCUCCCAUGCUUGGCUUCUUCCACAUCUGGCCGGAACCCUGCGCCGAGUUCAUCCCCACGACGGAUUUCGCUGCGCCCGAUCUCGACCCCCGGCAGCACUAUUCCGUGGAAGAUUGUCGCCACGGCCGCGUCCUCCUUCGGUACAUCGAUGAGGAUACGAAUAUCCCAUUGCUGGUUGUCUGGGACCCCAUUACGGGCAGCGAAACAUUGCUUGGCAGGCUCGAGAAGAUGGGAACGAGAAGCUGGUCUGCCUCGGUGCUCUGUGCGGCGGACAACUGCCGCCAUGGUGACUGCCAAUCGGGUCCAUUCCGCGUCAUUUUCGUCUUCCUUCACCACGAAGAGGAGGUCGCUACGGCGUGCGUGUACUCAUCGGAGACGGCUAGUUGGAGCUCUCUGGCCAUCACCGACCUUGGUAUGUUUGAGGAGGAAAUCGAUUGCUGCACGCCUAGUGUACUCGCAGGAGAUGCGCUCUAUUUCCUCCUGUUCCGGGACCAGGCGUUUGAAGGUUGCAGUAUUCUCAAGUACGACUUGGGAACCUCUUGUCUGUCAGAGAUUAAUCUGUCGGAUGAGAUGCAGGAUGCCAGCAACAGUCCAAUUCUCAUCGCAUCGGACGACGGUCGGCUAGGGCUCGCAGACCUGUUCUAUUCCGACCUCUCCAUCUGGUGGAGAGAGGUGGAUCCCGAUGGAGUUGCGUCGUGGGCAGAACGCAGAGACAUCGACCUCGAGACUCUUCUUCCCGCUGGUGAUUUCAAGAUAUCACCAGACUUGGUUGGCUCCAUCGAGGGUACUGACAUCAUUUUUGCAACCACAAGUCUCGGCACCUACGAAAUUGAUCUCAAGUCACUGACAUCACCUUUGAAGAUGCUCUCCAGCUGGCUGAAUCAAGAUCUGAAUGUCAAAUGGACCAUCUUACCCUACGUUAGCUUCUACUAUCCUCCAGUU